UCCGGCUUAUCACCGGCAGUCCCUCUAGAGUGCCCAACUAAAUGAUGGCAACUAAAGGCGAGGGUCGCGCUCGUUGCGGGACUUAACCCAACAUCUCACGACACGAGCUGACGACAGCCAUGCAGCACCUGUCUCUCUGUCCCCGAAGGGAAAACCGACUUUCGCCGGCGGUCAGAGGAUGUCAAGACCAGGAUAAGGUUCUUCGCGUUGCGUCGAAUUGAACCACAUGCUCCACUGCUUGUGCGGGUCCCCGUCAAUUUCUUUGAGUUUUAAUCUUGCGACCGUACUCCCCAGGCGGGAUGCUUAACGCGUUAGCUUCGUUACUGAACAGGUUAACAGUCCAACAACAAGCAUCCAUCGUUUACGGCGUGGACUAC
rnacentral:misc_RNA from 1 species